rnacentral:rRNA from 1 species
GGGUGGCGAGGCUACCAUGCAGUCGAGCGGUAGAGAGGUGCUUGCACCUCUUGAGAGCGGCGGACGGGUGAGUAAUGCCUAGGAAUCUGCCUGGUAGUGGGGGAUAACGCUCGGAAACGGACGCUAAUACCGCAUACGUCCUACGGGAGAAAGCAGGGGACCUUCGGGCCUUGCGCUAUCAGAUGAGCCUAGGUCGGAUUAGCUAGUUGGUGAGGUAAUGGCUCACCAAGGCGACGAUCCGUAACUGGUCUGAGAGGAUGAUCAGUCACACUGGAACUGAGACACGGUCCAGACUCCUACGGGAGGCAGCAGUGGGGAAUAUUGGACAAUGGGCGAAAGCCUGAUCCAGCCAUGCCGCGUGUGUGAAGAAGGUCUUCGGAUUGUAAAGCACUUUAAGUUGGGAGGAAGGGCAUUAACCUAAUACGUUAGUGUUUUGACGUUACCGACAGAAUAAGCACCGGCUAACUCUGUGCCAGCAGCCGCGGUAAUACAGAGGGUGCAAGCGUUAAUCGGAAUUACUGGGCGUAAAGCGCGCGUAGGUGGUUCGUUAAGUUGGAUGUGAAAGCCCCGGGCUCAACCUGGGAACUGCAUUCAAAACUGUCGAGCUAGAGUAUGGUAGAGGGUGGUGGAAUUUCCUGUGUAGCGGUGAAAUGCGUAGAUAUAGGAAGGAACACCAGUGGCGAAGGCGACCACCUGGACUGAUACUGACACUGAGGUGCGAAAGCGUGGGGAGCAAACAGGAUUAGAUACCCUGGUAGUCCACGCCGUAAACGAUGUCAACUAGCCGUUGGGAGCCUUGAGCUCUUAGUGGCGCAGCUAACGCAUUAAGUUGACCGCCUGGGGAGUACGGCCGCAAGGUAAAACUCAAAUGAAAUUGACGGGGGCCCGCACAAGCGGGGGGAGCAUGUGGUUUAAUUCGAAGCAACGCGAAGAACCUUACCAGGCCUUGACAUCCAAGGACUUUCCCGA